UACGUAGGGUGCAAGCGUUGUCCGGAAUUAUUGGGCGUAAAGGGCUCGUAGGCGGUCCAUCGCGUCGGGAGUGAAAAGCUGGGGCUCAACCCCAGUCCUGCUUCCGAUACGGGCAGGCUAGAGUUCGGUAGGGGAGACUGGAAUUCCUGGUGUAGCGGUGAAAUGCGCAGAUAUCAGGAGGAACACCGGUGGCGAAGGCGGGUCUCUGGGCCGAUACUGACGCUGAGGAGCGAAAGCGUGGGGAGCGAACAGG
rnacentral:rRNA from 1 species